UUCUUCUUUCAUACUCAUCGACAUUCUCCAUAACCCUAAAAGCAAAGCUGUUCAUCUUGAUCUUGGUUCAAUAAUCCUUCGUCAAUCCAAGGUGAUUUGUGAGGAAAUCAUUUUUUCCCUUAAAUUUGUAAACUUGAUUCUGCUUCAAUCCAUCUUCUUCCACUCAUGUUUGAUCAUCCAAGAUUUGUAAAAUCUUGCUGUUCGUGUUGUCUUCACGUUUUUUGUGUGGUGGAUAUAACCUGAAUCACCAAAUACGUUUCUUUCUUUUCUAAACCCUAGAUUUAUGUACAUUGGAUUUAGUUUUGCCACUUCCUCUCAUCGUUCCAAUGCAGGUGCGACUUUUUUGGUUUGAUUUCUUCAUUCUUCACCGCCGAUUCAUCAUCCAAAACUGAUCCAGAAAGCAUGCAGCUCACCACAGCGAAAAGGUACACAUUUUUAAUGUUUUUUUGAGAUCUUAGUAAGGGGAGUGAUCUCUCACGGCUGCCUUGGUUUUGUUGGGUCAUAUGCUUUCCAAUCUUGCUUACCUAAUCUGCAAUCUCGGGUUUCGUUUGCUUGAGAUUUGAGUCUGCCGAUUGUUGAAGUCUUUGAAGCCGAUCAUUUUAAAUUUCCAGUUCCCGAGAUUAUUCUGCAUGUAUGAUGAUAUUAGGGAACAUCAAGAAGCUUAAAACAGGAUUGUGUAGCCAAAAUGGAACCAUCCAACUUAUAUGUACAAUAUGAUGAUAGUGAGCUAUCUGUAAUGGCUUACCAAUAAGAACCUUAGAUGUCUCGAUUUCUUCUACAUCAAAUAUUGGAGACAUUCAACAGGUUAGGGUUUCAAAUGUCAUACUUCUCCUUCCUUUUUCAAUGUUCAUCUACACCAUUUUGUGUUGGUUAUUUGCAUUUGCUUCUCAUUUAAUCAGUUGAUCGUUGCAUUACAGAGACUAUGAACCCAAAUGCGGCACCCUUUGGUGAUCGAAAAUCUUGGUGUAGAUAAUUGUUAGUUAUGUGUAGGUUGGUGUGAAUACAAAAACAUGAAUACGUUGAUGAGCCCUUUCUGGGAAUUAGCCCUUGAAGAUGUCAAUUGAUGUUAAGUUUGUUUCUUCUUUAUUUAUUUUGAUUUUAUUGCAUUCGUUGCUUUUUAUUCCUCCUUUUUUAUACGAUCGUCUUUGAAAGACAUAUAGCUGAAGAGACCAUAUUAUGUUAAUUUGAUGGAUGACCUUACUCUUACAGGUAUCACACAAUAUUAUGCUUUUGUGGAAUAAAGGCUGCGUUUUUUUUUCUUCUUAUGCUUCAGUUCCUACGACUUCGGUUUGUAUCCCGGUACCGAAUUUCGCUGCCAGUGGAAGAUGAAAGGUUGCAUGGCCGCUGAUUAGCAAAGUUUUUUUUUUCUUUUUAACUAUUGUUGAUUUUCCUUACAUUGGUUCAUAUUCAGCUUUUUUCGUAUUUUUGUUCUCAAGGUUUAAUUUUUUGUUCAGUGGUUUUAGUUUAGAGGUGAUUUGGGGUUUAGGGUUAAUUUUUGAUGUUAUUUGUGUUACUUUAAGGAAAUUGGGCCUUUUGGUUGAUGAUACGGUUUAGGCUUUUCAACAACGAUAGAGGGGCUGUCAUCAUAUAGAUCAACUUUUUCAAGAGCGUGAGAGGGGCGCUCAUUAACAACUGUAUGCAUCAUUGUCGAGUGCGUUCUUUUUACAUUGGUUAUGUAAAAAAAAUUUAAGAUCUGGCAUAAGCGAUAUUUAUCAAAUUACAGUUUUAGCUGACAUUAGAUGGAGUGUUUUUAACAUUUAAAAGUUGUAUGACUAGAUAAAUGAUGCUUUGGUUUCAAACUCUUGACACUAACAAAGAGAGUGAUUAUUAUUUAAGACACUAAUAGUUUUCUAAUUUGCUAUUGUAAUGAUGGUGUUGCUGUAAAUGCAGGAAAUUGAGUAGAUUGAGAUCAACUGCUUUCAAUACUUCUGCAAGUUUAAUAAUCCUGGCCAAAUUUAUGCUAAUUGUUAGACCUGUUGUUGGCUCUUAGAAGGAUAUAUGAUGCCUGGAUCUCUCAUAGAUGCUAAGAAGCUUCAUGGGAGGAUCUCGAAGUCGGGUUUCGAUACCGAUAAUGUAAUUUGCAUUCGACUUGCUGAGGUUUAUGUUGCUCAGGGUGAUUCGAGUUAUCAUGCCAGGUGCUUGAUGAAAUGCCCAACAUAGAUUUAUCCUUUUGAAAUAACUUAAUUUUUGAUUUGAUCGAAACGAGGUUACCGACUGUAGUGUUCGGCCUGUUCUUGAAAAUGUUGGCUGACAAGGUUGACCCGAAUGAAGCAACAUUUGCAAAUGUUUUACGGGCUUUUAGUGGAGAUAGGAUUGGCCAUUAUAGUCUAAAGGAGAUCCACCAACUCUGUUCUCUUGGGGUUACGGUAAGCAAAUUCCAUCUCAAUUUCCAGUUCAAGUUAUUGCUAAAUUGCUUCAUUAAUUUGCAAUACCCGAAUCACAAUAAUCACAUGUACACAAAUAAGGUUGCGAUUGAGUAGAAAGUGCCGAAUAAAUAACAUGCAGUUUAUUAGUUUUGACCCAUUAGAGUUAAGCAUGACACAAGUUAACCUUUUAUUAAACAAAUUGUUUGAAAUUGGCAUGUCUAGGCUGAUUUAAUAUCUGGUGCUACUUAUUUGGUCAACAAUUUAAUGUCUUCAGCCCCAAAUCUUGGCUAAAACUCAAAUAUUUUGUUGGAGAUCACUGGUUUGUUUGGUGAUUCAUUUAUGCAAUUACAAUGAAAACUUUAGAUUAUUGCAUCUUACUCUUAUAAACUUACGUUGGUUGCUUAUUAUGUUCAACUUGAUUGUCCCUCCGUUCACUUUAAUAUGUAUGAUGUUUCUUAAACAUCAUAAUUGCCUACCGGUCUAAUGAUCUGGCCUGUGGGUGUGGGAAGUAGGGAUGGGCGUAACAUGGUCGGAACCGUGAGAACCAUGGUACCGAACAGUGACUACCACAUAGAAAGACCUGUUUAAUAUUUAAGGUUCGGCUAUGGUUCUGUCUCCUACAUUCAAAACGUCUAACAAGUUGUUUUACAAAGACCGACCCGUUUGAUAUUUUUAUUUUUUAUUUUUAUUACAAAUGUCUUCAUUUUGGUUGCAAGAUAUUUCUUCUAAUGUUAUCUUUUUGAUUAUAUAUAUAUAUAUAUAUAUAUAUAUAUAUAUAUAUAUAUAUAUAUAUAUAUAUAUAUAUAUAUAUGUGUGUGUGUGUGUGUGUGUGUGUGUGUGUGUGUUGGGGGGGGCUAUGACAUGUGCAUCUGGCUUAAACAUCUCAAUCCAUUAACAUGGCCUGAGUAUUUACGACAAUAAGCAUAUUGUGAAGAACUGAACUGAAUUGAAUGGGAAACACUUUGUUAUCGGCGUUGAACGAUGCAAUAAUUGAUCGGGAGUUACUAGCAAUCCAAAAAGCUUACCUGGCGGGUCUUUUAUCUUCUCAAAAGUCUUAGUAUGGUCUUAAUCAUGGUUACUAUGGAAGCCUUGGUUAUGGGCUUGGGAUGUCGUAUCCAGGAAGCCCAUUGGGCAGCCCACUUCUGCCUAACUCCGCUUUUGGGCCUGGUAGUCCCGCCCGACAUGGUGACCGGAGCUUGCGGUUUUCUUCCCACGUAAUAUGUUCAAUGCAUACGAAGUUUGAAUUUUGAUGUUCUAUGACUGGGAGGAUGGCCUAUCUGAGAGUGAGGCUGAUGGAUCAUUCUUGCAUGAAAACUGGAAUAAAGGUCUGAGUGAAGACGACGGACUUUUUCAGGUGCACACACUCUUGGAUUCUCGCAUUGCAACCAAUUCGCAGACAAGAUAUACAACUUCAGCAAGCAGAACCCGGUUGAUCCAACUCUAAACCCAAAUUAUGCGAGCCAAUUGCAGCAACAGUGUCUAAAGAACGUUGACCCGCGGAUAGCUGUAAACAUGGAUCCAAACACACUAAGAAAAUUUGACGUGUACUAUAAGAACCUACAGCAAGGACAAGGAUUAUUUUCUUCUGACCAGGUUCUCUUCACGACUCGAUGUCAAAACAAACCGUGACGCAUGGGCCUCCAGCUCACAUGUUUUCAAUAACGUGUUUGUUACAGCUAUGACUAAACUAGGUCGGGUUGGAGUCAAGACAGGCCAAAAUGGAAAUAUCAGACGAGAUUAUUAAGAUUAAUCUCAAAUACCACUUAGCUAUAUAUACAAAUUUCAUUUCAAAAAUGAAAUGAUAUUAAAGCAUAAAGGAUGUAUUUUCUGUUACAACAUGAUGGCCUUUCCCAUUGUUUCUCAUCAUAAUAAUGGAAGGGAAACAGAAAAAUUUGAACACUGUAUUUACUUUUUAAAUGAUUUGCCUAUGUGGACUGUAAGACCAAAGAA